GAGCACAGUUAGACCAGUCCAGUCCAGGUUUGCAGCACGGCACUGAUCAUAUGCAUGAAUAAGCUCAUGGAUAACUACUUGAUCAACCUCAUCUUGAAAAGUCAUAGUAUUACUGCAUACUAUUAUCUGAAGAAUAAAAACAACAAAAGAGGGAGACAUGUGAAUAUUGAUAGACACAUUAUUCAUACAUUUUAUUAUCCCUAAUUUUGUCCUUUUAAUUAUAUUAGUUUAUUAAAUUAAUAUGUUUUAUUUUAUUUUGUAGGAUUUAAUAUUUGUUGCAAUAAAGUCAAAAUCUUGGUGAUCAAGCGAUAUUUAAUGCUCUUAUUCAUGUAAGGAAUAUUCAAAAAGAAAUUUGCAAGGAGAAAGAAAGAGAUGAAACAAUCUUGGUGUGCAAGUCAAAUCCAACAAGAGAAAGGAAAUACUACUUCUUCAUGAAAUUAAACAAUACAUUAGGUAAUAUUACAAGAGAAAGGAAAUCCAACAAGAGAAAUGAAAUAUUUGGUAAUGUAUUAGUUUAGGUUAGGAGUAGGAGUAGGAGUAGAUUAAAUUACUUCUUCAUUGUACGUUCGUUGGAUGAUCGUUAAUUAAAGGGA
rnacentral:lncRNA from 1 species